rnacentral:rRNA from 1 species
UACGUAGGGUGCAAGCGUUGUCCGGAUUCAUUGGGCGUAAAGAGCGUGUAGGCGGCCAGGUAGGUCGGUUGUGAAAACUGGAGGCUCAACCUUCAGAGGUCGACCGAAACCAUCUGGCUAGAGUCCGGGAGAGGAGAGUGGAAUUCCUGGUGUAGCGGUGAAAUGCGCAGAUAUCAGGAAGAACACCCGUGGCGAAAGCGGCUCUCUGGAACGGUACUGACGCUGAGACGCGAAAGCGUGGGAGCGAACAGG